rnacentral:rRNA from 1 species
GAUGAACGCUGGCGGCGUGCCUAAUACAUGCAAGUCGAGCGAACGGACGAGAAGCUUGCUUCGCUGAUGUUAGCGGCGGACGGGUGAGGAACACGUGGAUAACCGACCUAUAAGACUAGGAUAAGUUCGGGAACCCGGAGCUAAUACCGGAUAAUAUUUUGAACCGCAUGGUUCAAAAGUGAAAGACGGUCUUGCUGUCACUUAUAGAUGGAUCCGCGCUGCAUUAGCUAGUUGGUAAGGUAACGGCUUACCAAGGCAACGAUGCAUAGCCGACCUGAGAGGGUGAUCGGCCACACUGGAACUGAGACACGGUCCAGACUCCUACGGGAGGCAGCAGUAGGGAAUCUUCCGCAAUGGGCGAAAGCCUGACGGAGCAACGCCGCGUGAGUGAUGAAGGUCUUCGGAUCGUAAAACUCUGUUAGUAGGGAGGAACAGAUGUGUAAGUAACUGUGCACAUCUUGACGUUACCUAAUCAGAAAGCCACGGCUAACUACGUG